rnacentral:rRNA from 1 species
GACAGAGGGUGCAAACGUUGCUCGGAAUCACUGGGCGUAAAGGGCGUGUAGGCGGGAAGGAAAGUCAGAUGUGAAAUCCCUGGGCUCAACCCAGGAACUGCAUUUGAAACUCCCUUUCUUGAGUGUCGGAGAGGAAAGCGGAAUUCCUGGUGUAGAGGUGAAAUUCGUAGAUAUCAGGAGGAACACCCGUAGCGAAGGCGGCACUCUGGGCCGAUACUGACACUGAGGAGCGAAAGCGUGGGGAGCGAACAGG